rnacentral:rRNA from 1 species
GUGGUGCGGUCAUACCAGCGCUAAUGCACCGGAUCCCAUCAGAACUCCGCAGUUAAGCGCGCUUGGGCCAGAACAGUACUGGGAUGGGUGACCUCCCGGGAAGUCCUGGUGCUGCACCCUU